GAUGAACGCUGGCGGCGUGCCUAAUACAUGCAAGUCGAGCGAACGGACGAGAAGCUUGCUUCUCUGAUGUUAGCGGCGGACGGGUGAGUAGCACGUGGAUAACCUACCUAUAAGACUGGGAUAACUUCGGGAAACCGGAGCUAAUACCGGAUAAUAUUUUGAACCGCAUGGUUCAAAAGUGAAAGACGGUCUUGCUGUCACUUAUAGCUGGAUCCGCGCUGCAUUAGCUAGUUGGUAAGGUAACGGCUUACCAAGGCAACGAUGCAUAGCCGACCUGAGAGGGUGAUCGGCCACAUGGGAACUGAGACACGGUCCAGACUCCUACGAGAGGCAGCAGUAGGGAAUCUGCCGCAAUGGGCGAAAGCCUGACGGAGCAACGCCGCGUGAGUGAUGAAGGUCUUCGGAUCGUAAAACUCUGUUAUUAGGGAAGAACAUAUGUGUAAGUAACUGUGCACAUCUUGACGGUACCUAAUCAGAAAGCCACGGCUAACUACGUG
rnacentral:rRNA from 1 species